rnacentral:lncRNA from 1 species
GCAGCUUCCCUCCUUUGACCCUAGUGGUCCAGCCUUUACAACUUCUGCUCAUUCUUCUUAUUCAACUUGUAUCUUGCCCUGCACGAAAUUGAACUCUAUUUGCUCAUGCGUAAGGAUAAAGAAAAAGGUUACAAAUGCAUGUUGGCUCGGGUUAGACGGAAUCUCAAACCUUUUAGAUAUUGUUGCUUUUAAAAAAAAGUGGUUGUAUGAAUCAAACUUGAUUAAAGCUUGGGUUUCAUGAAAAAGGUCAAACUUGUUAGAUAUACCACCUUUCAAAAAUGGUUGUAUGAAUCAAACUAAACUAAAUCUCGUGUUCUUAUGACAAGAUUUGUUUGGGGUAAAGGAUAAAGCUUCUAUAUGGAACUUAGAUGACAUAGGUACAAGCUGAACAUAAAAAAUUUUCAUCAUAAGAUUUGUUUGGGGUAAAGGUUGAUGCUUCUAUA